GUGCUCACUCCGGCAGCACAUGCACUAAAAUCGGAACGAUACAGAGGAGAUUAGCAAGGCCCUGAGCAAGGAUGACACGCAAAUUCGCGAAGCGUUCACCUUUCCU